GAUCAGAAGAAUCCUCUGCAGAUUCCUAGACCCCUGCAAGCUUAGAGCUUCAGGAGAUCUGGAGGGGAGCCUCUGAAAGCUGGUCAGUGACAGCGCGUGGAGAAACACUACUGAGGGCUCCUGUCCCCAGUUCCUGGUGUCACCGCCAGGCCAGCGUCUGAACAUUCUGCUUGCCACAGUUGGGCCACACUUGGAUCUUCGAGGCUUCUGUUAAGUUCCCAUUGCGUGGAAGGUUUUCUUCUGGAAAUGGGGAUAACGAGGACCAUGUUGUCCAUCUGGGACAGCUAUUGUGAUGACAAGAGACAAUUUCCGAGGAGUACUUGGGGGCAAAGACAUCUUCAGGAAUUCUUCCUUGGCCGUCGGCUCCGGACCCCACCAUCACCCCAAAGCCCCAUCGAUACUGUUCCUCCGGAAGUCACAAAGAAAUGGCUUCACGGGCAAGAAACCUUCAUUUUGCUUGGCAAUUCAGGAGUUUCCUAGGCAUAAACGGUAAAGGAUAUCGUGUAUGAUAAAGGAUAAAGGAAACAGAGGCAUCACUCGUUUGCAUUCUAUACUGAAAUGAGCGAUUGGAGCCACAACUCCCACUAAACACUGAACUAGACACUGAACCCAACCCCUGAAAGGCGAGAGGGAACUGGGUAAUCACAGGAUGCCAAACUGUCACCCACGGGUCGCCCACUGCUGGUCACAGGGAAGAAGAG